rnacentral:misc_RNA from 1 species
GUAGGUGAACCUGCGGAAGGAUCAUUAACAAUUGUCCAUUUUUCCUUUGCAUAUGGAUGGUUCAAAUCCAUAUCCACCUUCGUGUGCACAUCAUUGACAUGUUUGCUUUGGCAGUUUGCUGGGAGAGAAUACUUUACCGUCUUUUCUCUGUGGAGGGAAAGGGGGGGAAGAGAAAGAGGGGAGACAAACUCUGCCUUUUCUCGCCUCCCUUUCCUUCCGGCGCUGCCAGAGUUUUUUCCUUUCAUCUUGA